UGACAGAGCUUAGACUCUUACCCAACAGGAAGAUUCCAAAAUCACAUUUCUUGUGGAUUUCACAACUAGGAAACACGCAAAACUUCCUCCUCUCACAUCUUGUGGAUUUCACAGACUCAAGCCAUAUAACAAUUAUAUCCUUUUUAAUAGUUAAAACUUUAAAUUAAACAUAUGAUUACGUUGGUAGAAUUUUAGGUUUUGUAAUCGUUACCAAACGAAGAGAGAUCUGGGAUCUGUUAAUGACAGUGAAAACGUCUUCAAUGAAAACCCUCUAGUCCGAAGCCUCUAAUAUUUCUGCUCUGGAUUUUCACGCUCAGAAAAAUCUUCUACCUCAGAGCUCUCUCCUUCCAAUUUGCCGCUUCUUCUUUCCUUUGUUUUCUCUCUUCCU
rnacentral:lncRNA from 1 species